GACGAACGCUGGCGGCGGGCCUAACACAUGCAAGUCGAACGGAAAGGCACUGCUAUUUUGGUGUUCUCGAGUGGCGAACGGGGGAGUAACACGUGAGUAACCUGCCCUUGACUUUGGGAUAACUUCUGGAAACUGGGGCUAAUACCGGAUAGGAGCCCCUGCUCCAUGGUAGGGGGUGGAAAUUUUCGGCGGGUGGGGAUGGAGUCGCGGCUGAUCAGCUUGUUGGUGGGCUAGUGGCUUACCAAGGCUGUGGCGGGUAGCCGGCCUGAGAGCGUGACCGGCGACAUUACGACUAAGAUACGGACCAGACUGCUACAGGGGACAGCAGUGGGGAGUAUUGCACAAUGGGCGGACGCCUGUUGCAGCAGCGCCGCGUGCGGGAUGCCCGCCUUCGGGCUGUAAACCGCUUUCGCCUGAGACGACGCGUGAGUGACGGUAAUGGGUAAAGAAGCACCGGCUAACUACGUG
rnacentral:rRNA from 1 species